GCCUCCAGUUCUCCAGUGUUCACAGGUGAACCCACCAACAGUCACAGCUCAUGAUGGAGGCCAUCAAGAAAAAAAUGCAGAUGCUGAAGUUAGACAAAGAGAAUGUCCUGGACCGAGCUGAGCAAGCUGAAGCUGAGCAGAAGCAGGCAGAAGAAAGAAGCAAACAGCUAGAGGAUGAACUAGCAACCAUGCAGAAGAAGCUGAAAGGGACAGAGGAUGAGCUGGACAAGUAUUCUGAGGCUUUAAAGGAUGCCCAGGAGAAGCUGGAGCUAGCAGAGAAGAAGGCAGCGGAUGCUGAAGCUGAGGUGGCCUCCUUGAACCGCAGGAUCCAGCUGGUUGAAGAGGAGCUGGACCGCGCCCAGGAGCGCCUUGCCACUGCUUUGCAGAAGCUGGAGGAAGCGGAGAAGGCUGCUGAUGAGAGUGAGAGAGGUAUGAAGGUGAUUGAAAACCGGGCUCUAAAAGAUGAAGAAAAGAUGGAGCUCCAGGAAAUCCAGCUGAAGGAAGCAAAGCACAUUGCAGAAGAGGCAGACAGGAAGUAUGAAGAGGUGGCUCGUAAGUUGGUGAUUAUUGAAGGAGACUUGGAACGCACGGAGGAACGCGCCGAGCUGGCAGAGUCUAAGUGUUCUGAGCUGGAGGAGGAGCUGAAGAAUGUCACCAACAACCUCAAAUCUCUUGAGGCUCAGGCGGAGAAGUACUCUCAAAAAGAAGACAAGUAUGAAGAAGAAAUAAAGAUUCUUACUGAUAAACUCAAGGAGGCGGAGACCCGGGCUGAGUUUGCUGAAAGAUCGGUAGCCAAACUGGAAAAGACCAUUGAUGACUUGGAAGAUAAGCUGAAGUGCACCAAAGAGGAGCAUCUCUGUACACAAAGGAUGCUGGACCAGACCCUGCUGGACCUGAACGAGAUGUAGACCUUCCCCAUCCCUGCCCUGCCCUGCGGCCGCUCCUCCCUCUGACCUUGACUCCGCCUGAGGCCAGCCUCCCUGAAGCUGGCCUUGAAACUGAGGGCUGAUCUUUUUAACUGAAGGCUGCUUUCCCUCCUGCCACCCCUCUUACCCCUCUUGUCUUUUUCACAAAACUGUGUCAGCCUCUUCCCAGAGUUCCAGCUGGAGGGCUGAACACCUUUGGGAACAAUAUUUAAGGGAAUGUGAGCACAGCGCAAAGUGUCCUCAAUGCAGUUGUGAUAUGCACAUUGUGAUUACUUUUUGUCUUAGCAACCAUUUUUAACAUUCCAAGCACUUGUGCAGCUUGGAGCAGCACAUCUUAGCCUAAUGGAUACCGUCUCUCCAUGGAGGAGAAACACAGGAAUGGGCCUGCCUUACUGAGAGCCAGCAGAGCCCAGGCAGACUCCACUGUGGGAGACCUCAGUGCUCUGUACCAAGUCUUAGCCAAACAACAGGGAUUCUAGGAAGUUAGCCAAAAACAAAAACCAUUCCGGUCUGUGAAGGUUUUCAGCUUUGAUAUCUUUGAACAACUUUACACUUAUUUUUAGUUUUGACUUUUUCCGUCCGAUGUGACCAAAUAGGAGAGUGAGACAUCUGAGACGCCCCCGCCUCCCAGGGCCCUUGUGCAUGUUAGGCCAGCGUGCUACCGUUCACCCCCAGCCCUGAGCCCGAACUUGUCUCAGCUCUACCCCUUUCCCAACUGCUCAGAAAUGGAUCAUGCUGCCCCUUAGUGUUGUGGUGACCUCUUAGUGUUCACCUGCCCCCAAGGGAGACGGAAAAGGAAAUUAUGUUUGUGCCACUGAUUUAGCCACAUGAAAGUCAUCUCAUUGCUCUUUCCUGAAGCUGCUGUCUCUAAAGUGCCAUCUCUUUGUGCUUUGUAUCAGUCAGUGCUGGAGAAAUCUUGAAUAGCUUAUGUUUAAAAAAAAAAAAGAACUUUUUAAAUUUUAUAUUAUUUUGAAAUUGUUUUUGGGGGGUUAGGUUACCUUGGCCAACCCACUGGCUGUGAGAAUUCUUUGCAGUCUAUGGGCUAGUGGUGUGCUGAUCUUUCAAGUGUCCCCACCCAAUUGCCAUGUUCAGGUGGUUUCUUCUCAGCCUGUUAGGUGGGCGCCCUGCAGAUUCCUGGCUUGUUUGUACUCCUCCAACCGGAGAAAGAGAACCCUGUAGUGCAACUGUUUUGAUACUGAAUAGUGACAAGUGACAUUUUGAAUAAAGAACCAGUCCCUCCAUGAUU
rnacentral:lncRNA from 1 species